CAAGGCAAAUUGCUGCAAUACU
rnacentral:miRNA from 1 species